rnacentral:rRNA from 1 species
GUGAGGAAUUUUGCGCAAUGGGGGAAACCCUGACGCAGCAACGCCGCGUGAGUGAUGAAGGCCUUCGGGUCGUAAAGCUCUGUCAAGUGGGAAGAAACUGCCUUGUGAUAAUACCAUGGGGCAUUGACGGUACCACUGAAGGAAGCACCGGCUAACUCCGUGCCAGCAGCCGCGGUAAUACGGGGGGUGCAAGCGUUAUUCGGAAUCAUUGGGCGUAAAGGGCGCGUAGGCGGUUGCUUAAGUCAGAUGUGAAAGCCCUUGGCUUAACUGAGGAAGUGCAUUUGAUACUAAGCAACUUGAGUAUGGGAGAGGGAAGCGGAAUUCCUGGUGUAGCGGUGAAAUGCGUAGAUAUCAGGAGGAACACCGGUGGCGAAGGCGGCUUCCUGGACCAAUACUGACGCUGAGGCGCGAAGGCGUGGGGAGCAAACAGGAUUAGAUACCCUGGUAGUCC